UACAGAGGUCCCAAGCGUUGUUCGGAUUCAUUGGGCGUAAAGGUGUGUAGGUGGCGCCGUAAGUCGGGUGUGAAAUCUCGGGGCUUAACUCCGAAACUGCAUUCGAUACUGCGGUGCUUGAGGACUGGAGAGGAGACUGGAAUUCAUGGUGUAGCAGUGAAAUGCGUAGAGAUCAUGAGGAAGACCAGUGGCGAAGGCGGGUCUCUGGACAGUUCCUGACACUGAGACACGAAGGCCAGGGGAGCAAACGGG
rnacentral:rRNA from 1 species